AUGGCGGCCUCCUCCCUCCUCGCCGCCAUCCUGGCGCUGCAGCUGCUUCUCCUCCUCGUGGCAUUCACGCCCGCACCAGCAGCAGCAGCGAGCCCCUCCAAGCGCCCCAUCCAUCAGCCUCCCUCUUUCCCCGCAGGAAUCUCUACCCUGCGGCGGCGGGCUGCAAGCUCGAGCGGCAGGCUCGCCACGGAGGCGGUGAAGCCGUUCACGGCGCACUACUUCCCCCAGGAGCUGGACCACUUCACCUUCACGCCCAACUCCUCUCGCGUCUUCUCCCAGAAGUACCUCCUCAACGACACCUUCUGGCGGAAACCCACCGGGCCGCUGUUCGUGUACAUGGGCGGCGAGGCUGACAUCGAGUGGUUGGCCACCACCACCGGCUUCAUGUUCGACAUCGCGCCAGAGUUCGGGGCUCUCAUCGUCUUCAUCGAGCAUCGGUUCUACGGGGAGUCAAAGCCGUUCGGCAAUGACUCGUACAAGUCAGUUGACAUGUUGGGCUACCUGACGUCCACACAGGCGCUCGCCGACUUUGCCAUCCUCAUCACGAGCCUUAAGCAGAACAUGUCCAUUGUUGAUGCCCCCGUCGUCGUCUUCGGCGGCUCUUAUGGCGGCAUGUUGGCUUCAUGGUUCAGGUUAAAGUAUCCCCAUGUCGCCAUCGGAGCCCUGGCGUCCUCUGCACCCAUCCUGCACUUCGACGACAUCACCCCGUGGUCAAGCUUCCAUGAUACCGUCUCACAGGACUUCAAGUCCGAGAGCCUGAAUUGCUUCAGUGUCAUCAAGGCAGUCUGGGAUGUGCUAGAUAACAGGGGAUCCAAUGACACAGGGCUCUUGGAGCUCAGCAAAACCUUCAGGGCCUGCAAGACCGUGCAGUUCAUUUAUCCGCUGAGCAGCUGGCUACAGACAGCGUUCAUCCACACAGCCAUGAUGGACUAUCCAACCCCAGCAAAUUUCUUGAUGAAUCUGCCUGCUUACCCAGUCAAGGAGAUGUGCAAGAUCAUUGAUUCUUUUCCUGCGGGAGCUGACGUCAUCGACAAGGCUUUCGCUGCGGCGAGCGUGUACUACAAUUACACAGGCGACCAGAAAUGCUUCCAGGUGGAGGGUGGCGAUGACCCUCAUGGCUUCAAAGGAUGGGGCUGGCAGGCCUGCACAGAGAUGGUCAUGCCAAUGACGGUGUCGAACGAGAGCAUGUUCCGACCAUCCAGCUUCAGUUACGAGAAGAUGUCCGAGAACUGCCUCGCGGGCUACGGAGUUCGUCCGAGGAUGCACUGGAUCACUUCUGAAUAUGGUGGCCAUAAAAUUGACAAGGUUCUCAAGAGGUUUGGGAGCAACAUCAUCUUCUCCAACGGGAUGCGAGACCCAUGGAGUGGAGGCGGGGUACUCAAGAACAUAUCAUCCAGCAUCAUUGCUCUUGUCACGGAGAAAGGGGCCCAUCAUUUGGACUUGAGAUCUGCAACCAAGGAUGAUCCAGACUGGGUUGUAGAACAAAGGAGACAGGAAGUUGAGAUCAUACAUGGAUGGAUAGAUCAGUAUAACAAGGACACUGCACAGGGGUAG
rnacentral:rRNA from 1 species